GACAGAGGGUGCUAGCGUUGUUCGGAAUUACUGGGCGUAAAGGGCGCGUAGGCGGCUUGUUUAGUCGGGUGUGAAAUCCCGGGGCUCAACCCCGGAACUGCAUUCGAUACUGGCAGGCUAGAGACCGGAAGAGGUGGGUGGAAUACCCAGUGUAGAGGUGAAAUUCGUAGAUAUUGGGUGGAACACCGGUGGCGAAGGCGGCUCACUGGUCCGGUUCUGACGCUGAGGCGCGAAAGCGUGGGGAGCGAACAGG
rnacentral:rRNA from 1 species